UACGUAGGGGCCGAGCGUUGUCCGGAGUUAUUGGGCGUAAAGGGCGCGUAGGCGGUGCGGUAAGUCUGUAGUGAAAUCUCUGGGCUCAACUCAGAGUCUGCUGCAGAAACUGCCGUGCUUGAGUGUGGGAGAGGUGAGUGGAAUUCCCGAUGUAGCGGUGAAAUGCGUAGAUAUCGGGAGGAACACCUGUGGCGAAAGCGGCUCACUGGACCACAACUGACGCUGAGGCGCGAAAGCUAGGGGAGCAAACAGG
rnacentral:rRNA from 1 species